rnacentral:tRNA from 1 species
GCCCGGAUGGUGAAAUGGUAGACACAGGGGUCUCAAAAGCCCCCGCCUUCGGGUUUGCCGGUUCGAGUCCGGCUCCGGGCA